rnacentral:tRNA from 1 species
AGUUAAUAGUGAAAACGUUGUGUCUUGAAAACAUAAAAUAAAAUUAAUAUUUUAUUAACUU